rnacentral:lncRNA from 1 species
AUGCAGAGAGGCGACAAGGCCCAGAGGAGGCCAAUUCCCCAAACCACUUCAGAUCCUGGAGUAUUUUCAUCGCCUCCUGCUGGUAGCACCAGGAGGUGGGGGCAAUUUAAUAGCGGAGGCUUUCCCCUGCUUCUAUCCCCUGUCCCAGAAAAAAAGAAAAAAAAAAAAAAAAAAGGAAAAAAAAAUGAAAAGAAAAAAAAAAAGAAAGAAAGAAAAGAAAAAAACAGCAAGGGACUUGCGAUGGGGCUCAUGAAACUUUGCAGUGGAUUUUUUUUUUCCUUCCUUCCUUCAGAAAGACUACAGAGCCCUUGCUCAGCCUUCCCCAUACUCAACACACACAGAUGCUCGGCUCCCCCCAGUGUUGGGGGCUCUCCCACCCCCAAAACCCCCCUCCGUCGGUGCAAUGGACAGAAGCAAGCCAGCCUCCCCCCAAGAAAAAAAAAUACAGCAAAGGUGUUAAAAUCUGCAUGGGGUCUGCGUCCUCAAAGCCCCCCCCCCUCAAACCAGCCCCCCCAGCUCCUUCCUGAGCCCCCCUCCCCAAUAACUCUCUGCGAAAGCUUGACCCCCAUCCUGCAGGGGGGGUGGAAAUGGGAUGGGGGGGCUUCACUGCUUUUAAAUCCCUCAUCCCAACACCCCCCCUUUGUAUGUGUGAACCCCCCCUCAAGCCCCCCGUCCCUGCAUGCAGCCCCCCCCCCAACGGGGAGCCAGCGGGGCGAGAAGGAGGGACCGGGGAGGGACCGGGGAGGGACGGGGGUGGGACGGGGGUGGGACAGGGUGGGACGGGGGGGUGGCACGGGGUGGGAGGGAUGCAGGGCUGACCCCGUGCUUCCCAGCCCGCUGGUCACAGGCUGGAUAGGGCCAUCCAAUGGGGGACAGCCCGGGGGGGGGCUUUUAUACCUGCCUCGCUCCCCCCGCAGCCGCGGAGAUCCGCCGGGGCUGGCAGGGAGAGGCAGAGGGCUUGCAAGGAGGAGGAGGAGGAGGAGGAGGAAAAGAUUGCAUCAAGAGCAGGAUUUUUUUUUUUUUCCCCUCUCUCUCUCUCUCUCUCUUACAGGAAGCCCUACUCUACCUUAG